rnacentral:rRNA from 1 species
GGUUGAUCCUGCCAGUAGUCAUAUGCUUGUCUCAAAGAUUAAGCCAUGCAUGUCUAAGUACAAACCAUCUUAAGGUGAAACCGCGAAUGGCUCAUUAAAUCAGUUACGGUUCAUUGGAUGUUGACCGAUUACAUGGAUAACUGUGGUAAUUCUAGAGCUAAUACAUGCCAAAAGCUUCCUUCGCAAGUUGGAGGCGCAUUUAUUAGACCAAGACCAAGGGAGUACUUCGGUGCUCCUAGUCGUGGUGACUCUGAAUAACUAAGCCAAUCGCAUGGCCUUGCGCCGGCGAUAU